AGCAGCCGCGGUAAUUCCAGCUCCAAUAGCGUAUAUUAAAGUUGUUGCAGUUAAAAAGCUCGUAGUUGAAUUUCGGGGUUAGUAGGUUGGUCAUGCCUCUGGUAUGUACUGGUCUCACUGAUUCCUCCUUCCUGAUGAACCUUAAUGCCAUUAAUUUGGUGUUUUGGGGAAUUUGGACUGUUACUUUGAAAAAAUUAGAGUGUUUAAAGCAAGCUAACGCUUGAAUACAUUAGCAUGGAAUAAUGAAAUAGGACGUUCGAUCCUAUUUUGUUGGUUUCUAGGAUUGACGUAAUGAUUAAUAGGGAUAGUUGGGGGCAUUAGUAUUCAAUUGUCAGAGGUGAAAUUCUUGGAUUUAUUGAAGACUAACUACUGCGAAAGCAUUUGCCAAGGAUGUUUUCAUUAAUCAAGAACGAAAGUUAGGGGAUCGAAGACGAUCAGAUACCGUCGUAGUCUUAACCAUAAACUAUGCCGACUAGGGAUCGGGUGAUGUUAAUUUUUUAAUGACUCAUUCGGCGCCUUA
rnacentral:misc_RNA from 1 species